CGUACGCUUCUUUUUCCACCGGAGCUUGCUCCACCGGAAAAAGAAGAGUGGCGAACGGGUGAGUAACACGUGGGUAACCUGCCCAUCAGAAGGGGAUAACACUUGGAAACAGGUGCUAAUACCGUAUAACAAUCGAAACCGCAUGGUUUUGAUUUGAAAGGCGCUUUCGGGUGUCGCUGAUGGAUGGACCCGCGGUGCAUUAGCUAGUUGGUGAGGUAACGGCUCACCAAGGCCACGAUGCAUAGCCGACCUGAGAGGGUGAUCGGCCACAUUGGGACUGAGACACGGCCCAAACUCCUACGGGAGGCAGCAGUAGGGAAUCUUCGGCAAUGGACGAAAGUCUGACCGAGCAACGCCGCGUGAGUGAAGAAGGUUUUCGGAUCGUAAAACUCUGUUGUUAGAGAAGAACAAGGAUGAGAGUAACUGUUCAUCCCUUGACGGUAUCUAACCAGAAAGCCACGGCUAACUACGUGCCAGCAGCCGCGGUAAUACGUAGGUGGCAAGCGUUGUCCGGAUUUAUUGGGCGUAAAGCGAGCGCAGGCGGUUUCUUAAGUCUGAUGUGAAAGCCCCCGGCUCAACCGGGGA
rnacentral:rRNA from 1 species